rnacentral:rRNA from 1 species
AGAGUUUGAUCCUGGCUCAGGAUGAACGCUGACAGAAUGCUUAACACAUGCAAGUCAACUUGAAUUUGGGUUUUUAACUUAGGUUUGGGUGGCGGACGGGUGAGUAACGCGUAAAGAACUUGCCUCACAGCUAGGGACAACAUUUGGAAACGAAUGCUAAUACCUAAUAUUAUGAUAAUAGGGCAUCCUAUAAUUAUGAAAGCUAUAAGCGCUGUGAGAGAGCUUUGCGUCCCAUUAGCUAGUUGGAGAGGUAACGGCUCACCAAGGCGAUGAUGGGUAGCCGGCCUGAGAGGGUGAUCGGCCACAAGGGGACUGAGACACGGCCCUUACUCCUACGGGAGGCAGCAGUGGGGAAUAUUGGACAAUGGACCGAGAGUCUGAUCCAGCAAUUCUGUGUGCACGAUGAAGUUUUUCGGAAUGUAAAGUGCUUUCAGUUGGGAAGAAAGAAAUGACGGUACCAACAGAAGAAGUGACGGCUAAAUACGUGCCAGCAGCCGCGGUAAUACGUAUGUCACGAGCGUUAUCCGGAUUUAUUGGGCGUAAAGCGCGUCUAGGUGGUUAUGUAAGUCUGAUGUGAAAAUGCAGGGCUCAACUCUGUAUUGCGUUGGAAACUGUAUAACUAGAGUACUGGAGAGGUAAGCGGAACUACAAGUGUAGAGGUGAAAUUCGUAGAUAUUUGUAGGAAUGCCGAUGGGGAAGCCAGCUUACUGGACAGAUACUGACGCUGAAGCGCGAAAGCGUGGGUAGCAAACAGGAUUAGAUACCCUGGUAGUCCACGCCGUAAACGAUGAGUGCUAAGU